rnacentral:misc_RNA from 1 species
GAUGAAGAACGUAGCAAAAUGCGAUAAGUAAUGUGAAUUGCAGAAUUCAGUGAAUCAUCGAAUCUUUGAACGCACAUUGCGCCCGCCAGUAUUCUGGCGGGCAUGCCUGUUCGAGCGUCAUUUCAACCCUCAAGCACAGCUUGGUGUUGGGACUCGCGUUAAUUCGCGUUCCCCAAAUUGAUUGGCGGUCACGUCGAGCUUCCAUAGCGUAGUAGUAAAACCCUCGUUACUGGUAAUCGUCGCGGCCACGCCGUUAAACCCCAACUUCUGAAUGUUGACCUCGGAUCAGGUAGGAAUACCCGCUGAACUUAAGCAUAUCAAUAAGAGGAGGA